GAUGAACGCUGGCGGCGUGCUUAACACAUGCAAGUCGAACGAAGCACUUUCUUACGAUCCCUUCGGGGUGACGAGUUAGUGACUGAGUGGCGGACGGGUGAGUAACGCGUGGGUAACCUGCCUUAUACAGGGGGAUAACAGUUGGAAACGGCUGCUAAUACCGCAUAAGCGCACAGUACCGCAUGGUACAGUGUGAAAAACUCCGGUGGUAUAAGAUGGACCCGCGUCUGAUUAGCUAGUUGGUGAGGUAACGGCCCACCAAGGCGACGAUCAGUAGCCGAUCUGAGAGGAUGAACGGCCACAUUGGGACUGAGACACGGCCCAGACUCCUACGGGAGGCAGCAGUGGGGAAUAUUGCACAAUGGGCGAAAGCCUGAUGCAGCGACGCCGCGUGAGUGAUGAAGUAUUUCGGUAUGUAAAGCUCUAUCAGCAGGAAGAUAAUGACGUAC
rnacentral:rRNA from 2 species